rnacentral:rRNA from 1 species
AACAAACGCUGGCGGCGUGCCUAAUACAUGCAAGUCGAACGAGGUAGCAAUACCUAUUGGCGCCCGGGUGAGUAACGCGUGGAUAAUCUGCCCUUCAGUGGGGAAUAACUCUCCGAAAGGAGAGCUAAUACCGCAUAAGUCCACAGUGACUUUGGUCACAGAGGUUAAAGGAGCAAUUCGCUGAAGGAUGAGUCCGCGCCAGAUUAUGGUAGUUGGUGGGGUAACGGCCUACCACGCCUUCGAUCUGUAGCUGGUCUGAGAGGAUGAUCAGCCACACUGGAACUGGGACACGGUCGAGACUCCUACGGGAGGCAGCAGUAGGGAAUAUUGGUCAAGGGGCGAGAGCCUGAUUCAGCAACGCCGCGUGAGCGACGAAGGCUUUAGGGUUGUAAAGCUCUGUUGCAAGGGAAGAAAAAAAUGACGGUACUUAGCGAGAAAGGACCGGCCAACUUCGUG